UACGUAGGGUGCAAGCGUUGUCCGGAAUUAUUGGGCGUAAAGAGCUCGUAGGCGGUUUGUCGCGUCUGCUGUGAAAAUCCGGGGCUCAACCCCGGACUUGCAGUGGGUACGGGCAGACUAGAGUGUGGUAGGGGAGACUGGAAUUCCUGGUGUAGCGGUGAAAUGCGCAGAUAUCAGGAGGAACACCGAUGGCGAAGGCAGGUCUCUGGGCCACUACUGACGCUGGAGGAGCGAAAGCAUGGGGAGCGAACAGG
rnacentral:rRNA from 1 species